rnacentral:pre_miRNA from 1 species
CGAGAUCGUUUUGAUUUUAGCGAGAGUAAUAAUCGUCGCUAAAUCAUGUCGAUCUGGUC